AGUACAACCUAAUUAUGUCGUUUUUAUGAGUGCCUUCAGCAUCUCCCUUUCAUUCGAAAUAAGGGCAACACUGAAAGUACAGGUUCUUUUUUGUUAUUGUUCUUGAAGCAUGUCCAUCCUUAUUAUGUAACACUGCAAUGUGGUCAGGCUGUCUGUAAGGGUGUGGCUCAUUUGUGUGCACUGUACUAAGCCUCUCUCCUGUGUCUGUCUUGUUUGCCUCCUCCAGGUGAAGGUGUGCUUCGACGAGACCCAGCUGGAGCAGGUGUGUGAGUACCCAUCAGAGACCUCCAUGUUUGACUCCACCCACUACCCCUUACUUGGUCAGGAGAAAGGGAGGGAGGAGGAGGUGCAGGAGGAAGAGGAGGAGGAGAGAGGAGUGCUUGUGUCCAGGAGCAGCAGGAAUGUGGGGGCAGCAGCUGGCCUGAGAGUGAUGAGAGUGGAUGAGUCUUGCCAUCGAUAGACAUCAGUCGGUUCGCCAAAUUGCUCAAGUUAUGUGGUUAAGAUUUGAUUUAUCUUGCAAUAUGACUUUUAUUUUCCUGUAUUUUGUUUCUUUGAAAUUAUUCAUUUAAUGUUUGUAAUCUUUUUUGAUGUACAAUGUUUUAUUUUACAUAGGAUCAGGGACUAUUGGUUUUGAUAACAGUUUUAUGUAGUUUGUGAGAUGAAUGUGUAACGAUGUGCGCUGAGAGUCGGGAAGCAAAUUCAGGGAGUGAGUGUUUUAAUAAAUAAACGCAACAUAAUACAAACCAAGAAACACGAACAACGCACAGACAUGAAACAGAAACAAUAACGCCUGAGGAAGGAACCAAAUGGAGUGACAUAUAUAAGGAACGUAAUCAGGGAAGUGAUGGGGUCCAGGCGUGUCUGAUGAUGCGCAGGUGCGCGUAACAAUGGUGACAGGUGUGCGCCAUAACGAGCAGCCUGGUGUCCAACAGGCUGGAGAGGGAGCACACGUGACAGAAUGGUGGAGCCUCAACUCCUCUAUUUCAGGGUAAAAGUGUAAAGACAAUAUGAAAACAUGGUACAUAUUGUAGCCUAUACGUUUUACUAUAUACACUUGUUGUAUUUUUACUGUCAGGUGUGUACUAUUGGGUGAUGAUCACACGUCUAUGCAAGUUAGUGGAUUACAAAUGUAUGGUAAAAAGGGUCCGGUCAGUUUAGUUUUAGUUAGCUUAGUUCAACAACACAACGUCUCUACUGUAUAUAAACUCUGCAUCAGCACUGUAACGAUUCAAUGUGCAUUCCAAAUGACACCCUAUUCCCGAUAGGGCUCUGGACAAAAGUAGUGCACUAUGUGCCCUGGUCAAAAGUAGUGCACUAUAAAGGGAUUAGAAUGUCAUUUUGGACGCAUCCUCAAUGAAGCUUACAGUAUAUCAUCUGGUCCCUGUGCCUGCUGGAUUUGCUCAUACAGAUGAUAUAAAGAACAGGUCAUCUACAAGUUCAAGAUUAAUUUUGAGCCUUGUGAACACCCCUCAUAUGUAGUUUCUGGCAAACCAUGGCUAUAUGUAACAUCAUGACAAUUCUCUUUUAUUCAAUUACUGUUUCUGUUUGAACCACAAAAUGGAUUUCAGCUAGCCUUAAUGCAGAUUAUUGAAAACACUGAUGAUACGUUAUGGAAUAAUCACCAAUAGACAUUAUUAUAAUAUAUUUUUUUAUGUUUCACUGUUUGCCCUUUAGUGGAAUUAAUGUGGUAGAAUGAAAAAGAGUAGUAUAUCUGCUGUAUCUAUACUAAUGUGACUGCACAGUUUUGAAUGGAAAAGGUAUUAUGUUUGUGACUCUGGUGUUAUUGUGUGAGACUACAGCACAUGGGUGAUGUGGGUGAAAACAUGAUUUAAGGGAUGUUUACAACAUUUAAUGCAUAGAAUGGUCCUUUGGAGGAAGGAUUGGUGACAUAUAUUUGGCAUUUGUAUCUAAAAGCAUAAUUGAGAAAUAAUUCAUCAAAGUUGGAAUAUUUAUGAAAUGUUGGUUUUACACAGGUCUCUUUUAAGACCACUUAUGUUAAUCUGUAGGUGCUACAAAGCAAACAUUGGUGGCAUAUGAAGCUUUACCGCUUGCUCUGUAAUGUGGUUAGUAUUUUGUUUUCAAUAACAAUUUUCUUGCAUUAAUUUAUGAAUACCGAAGAAUAAGUAUAUUUUUUGAUUUAGCAAUUUUUUAUAUAUAU
rnacentral:lncRNA from 8 species